UCGCGAGGUAGAGCAGUCUGGUUAGCUCGUCGGGCCCAUAACCCGGAGGUCGUUGGUUCAAAUCCUUCCCUCGCAACCAU
rnacentral:tRNA from 1 species